CGGUAGCAGGCCUUCGGGCGCUGACGAGUGGCGGACGGGUGAGUAACGCGUAGGAAUCUGCCUCACAGUGGGGGACAACGUGGGGAAACUUACGCUAAUACCGCAUACGCCCUACGGGGGAAAGCGGGGGACCUUCGGGCCUCGCGCUAUGAGAUGAGCCUGCGUUAGAUUAGCUAGUUGGUAGGGUAAAGGCCUACCAAGGCGACGAUCUAUAGCUGGUCUGAGAGGACGAUCAGCCACACUGGGACUGAGACACGGCCCAGACUCCUACGGGAGGCAGCAGUGGGGAAUAUUGGACAAUGGGCGCAAGCCUGAUCCAGCAAUACCGCGUGUGUGAAGAAGGCCCUAGGGUUGUAAAGCACUUUCAAUGGGGAGGAAAACAGUCAGAUUAAUACCCUGGCUCUUGACAUUACCUUUAGAAGAAGCACCGGCUAACUCCGUGCCAGCAGCCGCGGUAAUACGGAGGGUGCGAGCGUUAAUCGGAAUUACUGGGCGUAAAGCGUGCGUAGGCGGUUCGUUAAGUCAGAUGUGAAAGCCCCGGGCUUAACCUGGGAACUGCA
rnacentral:rRNA from 1 species